UUACUUUGACAUCUGACCUCAAAUCAGGUAGGACUACCCGC
rnacentral:rRNA from 1 species